rnacentral:rRNA from 1 species
GAUGAACGCUGGCGGCGUGCCUAAUACAUGCAAGUCGAGCGAACAGACGAGGAGCUUGCUCCUCUGACGUUAGCGGCGGACGGGUGAGUAACACGUGGAUAACCUACCUAUAAGACUGGGAUAACUUCGGGAAACCGGAGCUAAUACCGGAUAAUAUAUUGAACCGCAUGGUUCAAUAGUGAAAGACGGUUUUGCUGUCACUUAUAGAUGGAUCCGCGCCGCAUUAGCUAGUUGGUAAGGUAACGGCUUACCAAGGCAACGAUGCGUAGCCGACCUGAGAGGGUGAUCGGCCACACUUGAACUGAGCCACGGUCCAGACUCCUACGGGAGGCAGCAGUAGGGAAUCUUCCGCAAUGGGCGAAAGCCUGACGGAGCAACGCCGCGUGAGUGAUGAAGGUCUUCGGAUCGUAAAACUCUGUUAUUAGGGAAGAACAAAUGUGUAAGUAACUAUGCACGUCUUGACGGUACCUAAUCAGAAAGCCACGGCUAACUACGUG